GUGUAAAAAAUUUCAAUGCUUAUAGUAAUAUCAUGUUUCAAUCUAAAAUCAUGUCGAUGAUUGCUCAGAGAGUUUUUUUUUAUAUUUGAGUCGUUUGCGAGAUGAAUUUCUAAAGGAAUUUUCAAAUCAUGUUCCAAAACCUUCUGUCAUUUGUCAUUUCUCGGAUUUAGAACUACCGCCUGUAAAAACAGGAAUUUGUACGACUUUCCUUAUAUUUGCAUUUUGGAGGAGGUACGAGGAGCAAUCUUCAAGUGUUCCGGCAUUAAAUUCCGUGCGAUAAAAUUUCAUGGAAAAUAUCUUUCGGGAAAAUGAUUUCUUGGGAACAACAAACUAAGGAAAAAAACUUUUCGAAAAAAUUUCUUGGGAAGAAAAAUAUUGCAGAAAAACAUCGCAAAAAUGAAUCAUCUCAAAACAAAAUCUAACGCAAAUAUAUUUUAAGGACACCCACGACAAUAUGUUUCAAAGAAACAGAAUUUCGGUAUCGGGAAUAAAUAGAACCUUCAAUUACAAUAAAUAGAUUUAGUACUAAUCAAAAUAAACACAAACAAAAAAAUGAACAAGGAAGCACUCAAAGCGCCACAAAUGUAAAUAUCCUUCAAAACAUAACUCAUUACAGUCAUUACACUUUCAGUUUCAAUUGCAAAUAAAUAUCAAACCGAUGGUCUACCCCUGACAAAUUGCUAUUAACAUACGCCAAUUUUUUGUUGUUUUUGUAAGGAAUUUAUUCCCAAAUAUGUUGUGUCCAAGGAAUUUUUUUUAACAAAUUUUUUCCCCUACAAUUUUGUCCAAAGUUUGAGUUUCCCAAGAAAUUUUUACCAAAAUGUUCUUUCCCAAGGAAUUUUUGGGCGGACACCAUCUCCAAGCAUAGCCCAACCAUCUUUCACGUGAAUAUGUUAAAUUCAGACCUUCAAAGGUCUGAGCUUGAGAUUCAAGUACAGUGGAACUUUCAUGACUGCUGACCUUUGAAAUACGCCUCGUCCACCUCCAGGAGGAGAAACGUUCCCACACCUAUACAAUUACCUUCUAUGGCCACACUCUCUCCAACUUCUUUUACUCUCCCUUUCCAAUUCACUAUUGCAUCUACACCUAUCCCUUUCUGUCUCAGCGCUCUCCUUCGUUGGGUAAUGAAGAAGGCUCUUUUCCUACGUAUAAAUUCCAAGGAACCAAAGCACCUGAGAUGUGCAGUUAUGAAAGUUCCAUUUUACUUUACCAAUAUUUUUUCUAGUCAAAAGCUUUCCUACUUUCAUGGUCGAAUAUUGAAAAUUUGAGUCCAGCUCCAUUUAACCUUGAGUUUUGGAGUAUUUUACAGUAGCCUCGUUACUCUAACUUCGCAGGUUUCACUUUGAAUUUUUCCACUGAGCCAUUAGGAAAUAUAAAAAAUUUUACAAAAAUCAAAGGACUAUGAUCAAGGGAAUUAUUUCCAAUUGACAAUUUCCAUGCAUAAUUAGCAUAUAACCAAAAUUUAUUUAUUUAUACGCUGUAAAAUAGUAAUCUUAAUGACGUUGAAUUUUCAUGAGUUUGAAAUAUUUUUUACGCAAUUUGAUUGACAAGUUUUGCAACUGAAAACACUGCAUGAUUGAACUGUAGAAAGGAUUUACAUAUUUUCAUAUUAAUAUCCUCUAUAAAACUCUUGAAGUAUUUAUUUGAGGAUAUCUUUAACUGAAAAAAAUAAUUUUGUAAUACAAUAUUAUCAUUAUUAUUACCAUUAUACGACAUUAUAUUCUAUUUUUUUACGGCGCAGCUGUAUAUAUACACAUAUAUAGGGUGUCCCAUUUGAAACACUCCACCUAAACAUCUCCUGAGGGUUGUAGGGUGUUGAGGGAGCUUUUUUAAAAUGGCAAUGGCAUUUUCCACCCAAACUUAUUUGUCUCAAUGAGUUGUUAUUGAAUACCUUAUAAAUUAUGUAAAUUCCUACGUCUUUACUGAGAAAAUGAUUCGAAUUCUUUUAGCCUGACCCGGGAUGCGCCACCUGGAGGUAGAGUCGGUGCGCAUUGCCUGCGCUAAAAAAAAGGAGUUGAUGAAUGUUGCUACCGUUGACUUGCAACAUGCGCGUGACAGUUGUUCAGGAGAUAUUUAGGUGGAUUGUUUGAAAUGGGGCACCCUGUAUAUAUGUUAAAUAUAAUGUUAUUGAUUGAAGAGGCCAUUCUGGGCAUGAAGAAAUAAGUAAAUAAAUAAAUAAAUAAAUACACUGAACUCACAGACAAAUGAACAACAUGAUCAAGGGCUGGAUUACGAAGGAGACUAGCCAAUAGUGGACUAGCUGCCGCCAAAACAACACGAUGAGCUCUCACAACCGAGCCGUCGUCACAUGCUAGUGUCACAUCAACGUGACGAUCACCGCUGUACCAUGCGCCAACCUCAGCGGCCAAGGUGGCGGGGUGUUUCCCAUAGUGGAGUGUCAGAAGACCGUCUGUAUACAUUGUCUGUAAAAAAAAUACACAAUACAAUACAUAAUGAAUAAAUAAGUGAGUCAUAGCGUAACCGUGACGAAUGGAAAAAGAAAUACCACACGGUUGGAAGUGAAUUACCAUUUUGGCAUUUCUCAGCUAAUAAUGGAGAAGUUGAAAGAAGAGAGGAAGGGGAAAGAUCUCGUGAGGUUUGUUGCGAAAACUAAUUCCCGUAAUUUAUAUAUAAACGAGAUACUUUCAUUCUUUCUUUUUUUCAUUAGUAAAUUAAAAUUGCAGAAUAUUGGGCGUUUCUGCGUGUCGAUAUUCAUUAUAAUCCAUUUUUAUAGCCCAUCGCAAUGGCUAUGAACAUCAACAGCAAUUCAAUGUGGUAAAAAUCAUUCUCAGCGAAUUGCAUUUGAAAGUUUUCGUAUAAAAUUCAGAAGUAGAGUUCGUGUAAUUUUCAGUAUUUUUAAUGUUGUUUGUCAUAUUGACAUGAAAAUGACCAUUUCAUCAGACACGCCUAUAAUAACCAAUUAAUCAGUAACUUUGCAUAUAAAAUGUGCAUGUGAAUAGCGUAUGAGAGGCGCUCUGUACUUAGUCUAGAAUAGAAAAAAUAUACUGACAGAAAAUACAAGAGAGAACAGAAGAGAAACUCAAUUUUUUAAACUUAAAAAUUCGAAUUCUAUAUAUACAAUAUAUUAUAUAAUGUAUAAUAUAGCAUACUGUAUAGUUUGCGUUGUGGACAUUUUUCCACCACGCAAAAAUAAUUUGAAUAAAGUGGAAAUUUGUCUAAAUUUCAUACCAUGAAUUAACAUUUUCAACCGCCUGUUCACCUGAAAUUCAAAAAAUUGAAAUAUCAAGGGAACUUUUUGACUAGCCGAAAAAUGCUUAUAAAAAAUCUGUCAAGUUCCUAAAUUAUUUCUUGCUGUCGUUAUAGCCUUGCAUAGUAACCGUUUACAUAGAUUCUCGCUUAUUUUUUCAUUGAGCGAUGAACAAGCUCAGCGGAGACAAAGUUUCAUCGAAAUUGGACGAAGCGUUCUGUUCGAAGAUGAUAGCAAACAUGGAAUAUUCUCAACUGUGUCACGACGAAUACAGUAUCUUUAGAGUUUUAAUGAUCGCGGAUUUUUUUCAAAAGUGGACGUUCUCUCAAUGACAUGUUUCCGUCGGGGGACGAAAGCUACUACUAAUUAGUUUUUGGUAUUUUUCCACUUCUUUAUUAGCACUAUUCUUUGAAGAUAAUGAGAACAAGUUUUUUUUAGUUGGGCAUUGAUCACCUUCAGAGCCCUUCGUAUUAUUUCAUUGAGUUAUACUACGCAUUAAAUUCUGGAUGAUAGGCAGUAUGUAAACCUUUAAAAUAUUGCCACCCUCAUGGCGAUGUUGUACCAACCCACUAAAUUGAUUUUGAAUAUUUUCCGUUCCCAAGUUCAACUGAUUGCAUAACUAAAAUUCAAAAAAACUAUUCAUCGUCAGUAUUAUCUAAAUUAAAUUUCGGAAAGGAUGGAUAUUUCACCAUUCCCUUCCUAUAAACAAAUAACAGAAUUUAUAUCCCAAAUGGUGGAUUAUCUUUUAUGAAGUGUCGUAAAAUUUUAUUACCUGUAAUGGUCAAAAAUUUAAAUUUCAAAAUUUGCCUAGAACGGAAAUGUUGAUUUCCCCGUAGGAUAACAUUUCAAGUUCUGAUUUUUUAUCUUUAAAGAAAACAGGAACGAUAAUUAAUUGGAGAAAAAAAUAACGAUUUCAAAUAUGAUCGGAUUUUAUAAAAGGUUUGUGUAGUUUUCGCUAAUCAAUAAAUUUACUAAAAAGGGCGGACUAAUUUAACGACUGAGAUAAUUUCCAGAUAUAUUUAUUUACCAAUUUUCUAAUUCGUAGAAGAAAUCUCUCUUCUAGAAAUAAUGAAAUUCAGAUACGCGGUAGAGUAUCAGGCCAAGAUAAACUUUGCUCGAACCCGGCAAAAUAUCUGGCUGAUCGCACUGCAUAUCUAUACAUGACAGAACUUCCCCCUCCAAUACUGCCAGCUCGUUUCUAUUCAAUAUUAUGGAAGCAGCGAGAGGAUUUCAAGAAGUAACCUUAGUUAUAUCAUACAAAUCGCCUAUGAGACUUCCAAUGAUGUGACUUUCAGAUUUUUUAGGUGAACAGUAAAAAAGUUACGUACAUAGAAACCGAUUGAUGUUCACAUUAUGUCGUCGGAAAAUCAUAUACAUAGAGGUACCUUUUUUACUUGAGUUUGACAACGUAGAAUCAAAUCUUGAGUUGAGAAACCCAUUAAUCGAUGCAAUAAAAGACAAUCAAUACAUCUUGCACCUUAAUUAUGUCGCCUAACAUGACCGAACUCCAUACCCUCAGGAUUCACUCUUCGAGAACACGCCAACUUCGGUACCAGCGCCUCCCUGGACACUUAAUAGCUCUUCAGCAGAGAAUGUUUUAACGCUAAAUCUCAUUCAUAUCACCAAUCAGGACAGGGCUACUUGGAGAAGACGAUCCCUGAGCUGAGACCCCCGUCACCGACUGUGGGAAUUGGUUGGUUCCAUUUUUAUCCCCACUCUUCGACUAGGUCGCCAUUCCCAAUGGCCGUGUAGACAGGUACAUACUUCGGCGACAUACAGUCUUUACAAUAUCCUGCGAAUGCGGCAAAUGACUCCCUAGACAACACAAGAGCUUAUUCCGUCUGGGGUCAUACAACAUCCCCCAUUAUUUCCGCAAUGGAUUCUCGCUGUGGUCAACCUAUCGGACAGUCCAUAAUAACGCGUUGCACUGUGUCUGUAGGUUGUUCGCCACCACAGUUCCUUGAGUCAGCAAGACACCGUAUGUUAAUAUUUUUAGGAGCAGUCAUAGCACAUUUACCAGCUGAGCAAUGGAUUCGAGCAAACAGGCGACGGGGCGCUCCCCUCACCCGACUAGCAAUAAUGUCAGGCGAGCCUGAGGUUUGAUCAGAACUUGAUUUGGUGGUGACCAGGUUCAACUAAUCAGGCGAGACUUGAUGAAGAACUGAUGAGUUUUUUAUUUACUCCAUCUGAUUGGAAUUACUCUGAUCAGGUUCUCAUAUGGUGAGCUAGAUCUGAACCUGAGGUCCGUUCAGCUGGUAAACGCCUUGAUCAAGUUCGGAUGAGAUGAGUCUGAUUUUAUAUUUAAGUCAGUCUGCUUGCGAUUAUUCAGAUCAGAUUUUGAUCAGUUCAACUUGAGUGGAAAUCGAGCAUUACGCUUACAAUUGUCAUCUGCUAGGCAGAGUACCGAGGAUAAAUGUCUAUGUGCAAAAAAAAGGGGAAACGCCUAGGUGCGCGUGAACAGCGAGUGAUGCACACGUGUCGACCGUUUGCUCGGGCUACGACUUAUCCCGGAAAAAGUGAAAAAAAUGGGGAAGUUCUCUACUCAAUAAAUUCGGUUUCGGAAAAAAGGCUCUUUGUCGAAAUUCCCCCGAACGUUCCCAGCUCAUCUGUGACAAGCUAAAGAUUUGAAUAGUGCCAAAAAUGGUUAAAAGAUGGUAUGCACAUUACUAUGAAUAUGUUGUGACCCAACACCCACCGUGCAGCAUAGUCCGAGCGUUCAUUUGAUCAAAUCCGGAUCUGUCUGACGGGAUUGACUUCUGAUCAAGUUCCGGUUAUCUAGCCUCAUCAAAUUCUGAUCAGUUGGGCCUGAUCAAAUUCACAUUUGGUCAUAUUGAUCAAGUUCGGAUCAGAUCCAAUUGAACAAGUCCGGAACGAGUGAAGGCUUUACAUGCCGGAUCAAGUUCUGAUCCAGUCCUUGGAUCAGUACCUGAUUAUAAAUGAGGUCUGACCUGAUCCGAGCUUGAUGCAGACCUGAGUUAAAUUUCGACUCGGGCAUCUUCGGCUCGGCUCGUUCUCUCUUCGCUUGCCUCCUCUCAUCUAUCGCUCAGCUGUAAAUUGUGUUACGACUGCUCCUAAAAACAUUACCCCACUCGUUUCAACAUUCUCCCUUUUUCGCAUUUGUAACGUAAUAUACUAUUAUGAUUUGGUUCUGACGCACCUGCUUCUGUGAUAUCAAUAUUUAUAAGACCCAAGGUCUGAACUCGAUGUGCCGUAAGCAGUGCAAGAAGGUGAUAGCAAGUCCUAAGCGCGGAGUAAAUGGGUGACUAAUGUUAACGGAAUUCAAUGUAAAGUUUACAAUGAAAAUGCAAACGUGAAAUUUCGAUGUUUGAUUUAUUCAUUUGUAUAAUCCAACAGCGAGGAAUCAACCAUCAGUAGCUUUUAUAGAACAUUAACACUGAUAUAGUAUAUCUCGAUGCAAGUAGGGCAGGGCGGCAACAAGUGUGAAGACGGGGCGGCCCAAGGUAAAGCCGAGGACUGCCAAUCACACGAAUUAAAACACCCCGUCGUCCGUAUAUCCGAACUAGACUUUUUGUUAGUCAUGGUACGUUCAACGAGUGGUGAACUCUGCCAUUUUUCAUUCACUUGUAAACGAAAUGUAGCAGCACGGCUCCUAUUACAAUUUUUAGAUCUUGCUUUUUUAGUUGCAAGGAAGUAAUGGAUCAUUUGGAUUCAGGUUCAAUUGGAUCAUCGCGUGAAGUUUGCACUUGAAUACAUCCCUCAAAGGAUUACACAGCCCCUUGAAGAAUCUAUGACUUAUUGAUCAUAAAAUAUUGAAGAUGUAUCGCAGCAAUAAAAUCUGACUGUAAUUGAA